GUCAGAAGGGAGUGAAUUCUGAGAAAAAAGAUGAAGGCUGCAUGAUGGACAAAGACAAAUAUGCUGAUGUAUUGGAGAGGCAAAAAGGAGCAAAAGAGAAGAUGGAGGCUUGAUUUUGAUCAUUCAAUGAUUCAACCACCUGUGGUGUCUCACAUAUCAGCAGUAGUAUCUCCAAGAAGCCCAGGAACAGGUUUCCACAACCUGCUGAGAACCACAUCUUCUAUAAUAUCAGUGCUAUCUCUUGAAGCUGCUCUUGAAGUUGAAGUCAAGAAGAAUGGUGUUAAUGUUUCUAACUGUAUGAAGAGACACACACUCACAGCUCAAACAGAUCAACUAUUCUUUGGAAAUGGAAAAAAAAUUGUACAUCUUUAUGAAACAAAUCAUAUAAUUUGGAUGAAGAAACCUAGUGUUUUCAUACUUUAAGCAAAGACUUGGAACUGGGGAGCUGGAGAAAUCGAAGAGAGGAUCAACAUGAGGUCAGAGAGCUGUUUUGUUAUCUGUGUAAAAGACACCUGCCUUUGGCUGACUUACAAACUCCUGAAAAAAUGUUUGCACAUGCUAAAUAUGGGCUUGUGUAUGUCUGCCAAUGUAUUCUCUGAAGAUGCCAUCUGCAUUGAGCAUGUGGUAGCACAAGGAGACUCUUCGUGGAUUCCAGGGUCCACUGAGGUUCUGGGCACACAAACCACAAACAAGGCGGCUCCCUCCUGAGCAUGUAACAAUGUGCUUGCUGUUUCCCAGCAACAGUGGUAGAAGGAGAAGAUGUAACAUAUGCAAAAAUCAAAAUGUGUGUACAUCUGAUUACAAAGCUUUAAGAGGGAAAUGUUUUUCUAACUCAAACAAGUUCUACUCAUGCAGGAAAAAUAUUUAUGACAUUGACUACAGCUACCUUAUCUAUUCAGUACAUUGUAAGGACAUUUCUCUUUUCACUAUUGUUCCAUACAGUCCCCAUCAAGAAGUCACUAAGGUCUAGUGAACCAUUUUGAUUAAUGUCUCACAGGUUUUACAUCAAAUUAUAAACUAGAAGAAAAUAAAUGAAUUUAGUAAUUUUCAUAAGUUACUUUUUCUUUGAUAAUAAGAACAGAUUGCUAACCUAAUGAGAUGAUUGUAUCUUUUACACAAACAACAUUUCAAGAAAUGAAUCAAUAUUUUCAGUAAAUAUUGUGAUCCAAGGUUUCCUAUUAAUUUUAGAUUUGUACGUUUCACGAUAUUUAUUUACUUUUUAUUGCUGUUUUGUUCCUUGUAGUAAGUGUCAACAAUGUACAACCUGAAGUAAUUAUUAGGGAAAGUGAUAGCAUGUUUGCUAGCAGUGGAAAUGCCAGAAGUACUGUGUCUUCUAAUUUAUUUCCCCCCUCAGUUAAAUGCUAUUAUUCUAUCCAGACUUGUUGGCACUUUCAUGGGGUUGGGAGUUUGCAGUUAGGAUGAAUUCUGCCAGCUCCAUGGUGAUGAAGAAUGGUGCUGUGAGAAAGAAAACAUUUUACAUGAUGAGGAAAGAAGAACAGAAAAAUUAAACAACUUGCCUAAGGUCACACAGGAAACUUCUAACAGAGGUAUGAAUCAAAGAGAAGUCUUCUGAAAACUAUAUGGAACAGCUUAACUAGAAAUCUUCCUUUCUCCUGCAGCAAGCUACUGCAGGUUUCUAUUUUCUUUUUCUCAAAAUAAUUGUUCCAUAUAAUUUGUGAAAUCUGUCACGAAAAUGGGUUCAUUCUGAAUCAUUUUAGAAUAUUGUGACACCCCUCUUUUGACGUUAGCUCUCUAAUGAGAGCAAAAAUGAACACAAAACCCAAUCUGUUAAAACAGUGAAGUUGCACCAAAUGUACCCAGUCUUGGGUUUUGAAUGGCUACCUAGAAUAACAUUGUGAAUGUGCUUUCUGUGAACAUAUGCUAGGAACAGGAAAUGAUAUAAAAGUAAUUGUAAUGACAGUCAGUCUCUUAGGAAUUGAUAUUUACCUGGAUGGAAAAAACUUUCAAGAGUAAUGGAAAGUUAAGUGGCUUUUGGGGAAAAAAAAAAAUUCUUAUAAAAUUCUGGUCAAUUUUUAUGUACAGAAUGUACCACAUUGAAUACACUAUUCCACAAUAAAAAUAAUUUUCUCAAAGACUGAUUUUAUUAUACUGUUACAGUAAUCUAAGUGACUACAACUUGAAGAGAAAUAAAAGUGUCUAUCAAAAAAUGUA